rnacentral:tRNA from 1 species
ACAUCUAUAGUUUAAUUGGUAAAACGAUAGUCUCCAAAACUAUAAAUUUCAGUUCGAGUCUGAAUAGAUGUGCGA